UCUUUCCGUUGACCGUUCACACUUCCUCAUUAUCGUGGAGAAGAGAAGAUGCUUGGUUCCGGCGAAGGAGUUCAAGGCUGCUCGGGACGAGAAUGCAGGUGAGUUUGAUCCUUCACUGUCACACAAGUGCCAGGGACACCGCCCAAUCUAAAGAUGUGAGUCUACAAAAGGCAACGUAACAUCAUGGUAGAUAAUUUUUUAUACUAAUUAAGAGUUAGUUGAAUCUAGGUCUUACCCAUUAGAACAGUAACGUAAGCAAUGGGUGUUGGACCAUUAUAACUUUCUGUUUCCACCUAUUAAAAGGGGUCAACCAAGGACUUGCAUCUACUUCUAUGUACAUAUAUAAUACUUAAACUCCAAAAAAUAUAGAAAUUUACGCUUAUCAUAUUUUACUUUAUGUGUUAGAUAAUUAAUAAUUGUAAGCUUUGUAAUUAAGAUCUAGUUUUUAUUUUAUCUAUAUAUUUUGUCUUCAGAUCUUAUGCACAAUAGUCUCACAAUGUAUAGUGAUGGUAUUUCCCUUGCUUUCCAAUGUGUCGUUCCCUUUAAUCACUUAGAGCUCAGAAAUUCAACUUACCCAGAGGCCUAUGUUGCUUUCCUUGUAGGCUGUAACAUACAAUAAGAGAUAGAUGAAUCGAUUUCCUACUGGAUUUCACCAUUUUAAAGUGCUUUAAAAAUAUCUUUUUUGAACUCUCGCUGUUGCAAGUACGCACAAGUUGUAAUAGAACUCUCCUCAAUUUUCUUCUAAAAUAAUUUAUUUUUCUCUAAUUUGACCUCAUUUGAUGCAUGCUUGUUUAUUAACAUCUAUUUCUUCAUAUGCCUGAAAAAAUAUACAUGUACCACAAAAAAACGAAGAGCUAAAGAUUGAGAUCUUCAUUAUUGGGUUAGUCUAUUCAAGCAUAUUAUAUAUUUAUGUCAUUAAUUACUAACAACAAAUUCAUUCACCUAAUAGUUUCUAACUUUUGAUGUUUUAUUUAAUUUCUGAAAAGAUUUCAUGAUUUAUCAUGAUAAAAUUUAAUAUCUAAAAACAUUCAUAGCAUGGAUGAGGAAAUAAUGUUUUGAUACGAUGCACACUUUCCCUCACUAAUGGAUCCAUGUCCAUACAUGCCCCUCUAUGCUCACACUUUUCUACUUUCUUUCCUGUUUUGUGAACAUGAGAGAUGAGUAUAUGGUGAAUAAGCAUCAAAAAGACUUGUUGACUUGAUCAAGUUUGUCUUCUAGUGUACUCAGCUUAUCUUCAUCACUCUUCAACAUGUUUUCUAUUCAGUGAAGGAAGUCAAUGAUCACUCAUAAGUCGCUAUUAUUAAGAUUGUCAAUUUUAAAUUUAUAAAAUGAUUUUCAUGAGAUUAGUUCCUUGAUGAAUUAGUAGAAAACUAGGUCAAACACAAGGAGAGUUUUGAAUUAAUUGAUGUAUAUUAAUUAAUGAUGAUAUUUUGAUUUAUUUACUCUCUAAAAUUUAGUAGCCACAAACAAAAAUCUUAAAUGCACAUUGAGAGAAAAAUUCCUCUCAAGGUUUAACCUAUCACUUUGUAAAUAAAUCACGAAUGGCUAGUGAAGAUGAUUUCCCACUUCUUCAAUGACUUAGACUACUCAAAAUAGAUGAGGCGAGGGGGAAUAGAGUCUCACGAAAUUUUGAUUGAAUUAACUAGGAUAAAAGAGGUUUAAUUACAUGAAAGUUAAAGGAAGAAAAUGACAAUGAUUUCUCCCUCCUAUUAUGACAGACUUGGGGAGAAAAGGACGGCUUCAUAUAGGGGCAUCUUUGAUUGAUCCUCUUCUUGCUGCACCAAGGGAGGAGACACAUCAUUGCCAGCACUAUCACCACCAGGAGGAGGAGGGAGAGAUGAGCUAGCCCACCUAUGGUGUGUUGUAGGUGGCACCAAGAGAGAGAGGAG
rnacentral:lncRNA from 1 species